rnacentral:rRNA from 1 species
AUUGAACGCUGGCGGCAUGCUUUACACAUGCAAGUCGAACGGUAACAGGCCGCAAGGUGCUGACGAGUGGCGAACGGGUGAGUAAUGCAUCGGAACGUGCCCAGUCGUGGGGGAUAACGCAGCGAAAGCUGUGCUAAUACCGCAUACGAUCUAUGGAUGAAAGCGGGGGACCGUAAGGCCUCGCGCGAUUGGAGCGGCCGAUGUCAGAUUAGGUAGUGGGUGGGGUAAAGGCUCACCAAGCCAACGAUCUGUAGCGGGUCUGAGAGGACGACCAGCCACACUGGGACUGAGACACGGCCCAGACUCCUACGGGAGGCAGCAGUGGGGAAUUUUGGACAAUGGGCGCAAGCCUGAUCCAGCAAUGCCGCGUGCAGGAAGAAGGCCUUCGGGUUGUAAACUGCUUUUGUACGGAACGAAACGGUCUGGGUUAAUACCCUGGGCUAAUGACGGUACCGUAAGAAUAAGCACCGGCUAACUACGUGCCAGCCGCCGCCGUAACAC